AUUGAACGCUGGCGGCAGGCCUAACACAUGCAAGUCGAGCGAGCGGAGGACGGGUGAGUAAUGUCUGGGAAACGGCCUGCUGGAGGGGGAUAACUACUGGAAACGGUAGCUAAUACCGCAUACCAUCAGAUGUGCCCAGAUGGGAUUAGCUAGUAGGUGGGGUAAUGGUGCACUUCGGCGACGAUCCCUAGCUGGUCUGCGAGGAUGACCAGCCACACUGGAACGGAGACACGGUCCAUACUCCUACGCGAGGCAGCAGUGGGGAAUAUUGCACAAUGGGCGCAAGCCUGAUGCAACCAUUCCGCGUGUACGAAGAAGGCCUUCGGGUUGUAAAGUACUUUCAGCGGGGAGGCGUUACCCGCAGAAGAAGCACCGGCUAACUCCGUGCCAGCAGCCGCGGUAAUUC
rnacentral:rRNA from 1 species